ACUCAAAUGAAUAGACGGGGGCCCGCACAAGCAGCGGAGCAUGUGGUUUAAUUCGACGCAACGCGAAGAACCUUACCUGGGCUUGACAUGUGAGCGACCGCCGUGGAAACACGGUUUCCCUUCGGGGCGCUUUCACAGGUGGUGCAUGGCUGUCGUCAGCUCGUGUCGUGAGAUGUUGGGUUAAGUCCCGCAACGAGCGCAACCCCCGUCGCAUGUUGCCAGCAUUCAGUUGGGGACUCAUGCGAGACUGCCGGUGACAAACCGGAGGAAGGCGGGGAUGAGGUCAAGUCAUCAUGCCCCUUAUGUCCAGGGCUACACACGUGCUACAUUGGCGCGUACAAAGGGCUGCGAUACCGCGAGGUGGAGCGAAUCCCUUAAAGCGCGUCUCGGUUCGGAUUGCAGGCUGAAACUCGCCUGCAUGAAGGCGGAGUUGCUAGUAAUCGUGGAUCAGCACUGCCACGGUGAAUACGUUCCCGGGCCUUGUACACACCGCCCGU
rnacentral:rRNA from 1 species